rnacentral:lncRNA from 1 species
UAACAUUCUACAUUGAACUAAAGUUUAUGUGUAAUUUUAAGAUUUAUCCCUAUUUUAAAUUAUUAAAAUUUAAAAUUUAAAAUUAUUGAUUGCUUUUGUAGCACGUGUUUCCUGUAAACUCUUGUAGCAUGUUCUCUUCUCUUUUUUUUUUCUUUAAUUGCUUGUGUUAUUAUUAUUAUUAUUUUUUUGUCACUUCUCCUACCGAGUUUUCAAUGGAGAAUGAGAUAGCAUGUUUAUCUAUUGAUGAUGGGGAAGGAGGCUGGCAGGUUAAUUUGGAAGGUGAGUUCAGUUCAAACUUUGAGUUUUGCCUAGUGGGCAGGUUUUUAAUUGCAAUUAUUAUUUAUUUCUAGCCCAUGCGCAACACUUUGGCGAACCUAUGGCAUUUUAUAAAGGCUGUGGCUAUUAUUGAUAUUGGAGAUAACAUAUUUAUGUUUAGAUUUUUCUAUGAGUUAGAUGUCCCAUGUAAUUUUCUUAGUUGAGACUAAACUACAAGCAUCGAAAAUGGUUAAGGUGCGUAAUAAGCUUGGUUUUGUUCAAGGUCUGGAUGUUAAGCAAAUGAAUUAAGAGGAGGGGAGAUAGGGCUAUAUUGAAGACGACCAUGAAGGAAACUCGCGGAUAUUUAAUGGAUGUGUAAACAACAAUUUUUUUGGACCAAUUAUAAAGCGUUAUGUGUUAUGUAAUAGGCCCAUUUUGCCCAGGCCCAUACCAAAACUAAAAUAAAAAAUGCAAAACAAAAUAACAAAAUAAAAUCCAAUAAUAAGUGUUCAUAGUCCAUUUACAACAACCCAACAACUAAACCAAGCCCAAAUAAACCCUAACACAAAUUGGCCCAAAAUAUAAAAUUUCUAGAAAACCCUAGCACCAUCCUUCGCGCCGCAACAACUUUCAGCAGCCUCCAGCAUCGCUGUUGCCUCCGUGCCAGCCCCAUGUGUGCCUUCUUCGUCGUUGCCACGUGCGCCAUCAUCCAACUGGCUCCGUUCGUACCUGCAACAAAAUAACAACCCACAACAGACUGACAACAAAAGGAAAAUUGCUUGUAUUUUUAUUAUGAUUAUUAUUCUUUUUUUUUCUUUAUUCUGCUAUGAAAAGCCAGAAAAACGAUGUAAAUGGGAUCUUUUUUCAGAGAAAUACGAAACCAAACGCAUACAAAUCUAUAUAGAAAACAACAGUUUUCAAGUGGUAAUUUUAAAUCUCAUUUUUCUUUUCAUUUUGCUUUUAUCUUUUUGAUUUUUGUUAUUGUAUGAGUAAAAAAAUAAAAAUAAAUGAAAGGGAAGAUACUUAUCUCGAUAAAGGCCCUCGAAUCCUUGUUUGCUUCGUAGAAAUCGGAGCUCAAAUAAGGAUUGUGAGGUUUAAGAAUAGCAAAACUCUCGGAUUCGUGGUCGAACAGGGCCAGAUUAGGACCGUCUGCCGAAUAUGAUGGCGGAGUGACGGAUAGGCGAAGAACUAUCUGAUUCGGCCGAAUAUGAGAGAUAUGAAGCUUAGAUUUUUUGUUUUGAUUUUGAUUAAAGUGAUUAGUGGUUUAUUUUAGGGUUUUU